AUUGAACGCUGGCGGCAGGCCUAACACAUGCAAGUCGAACGGUAACAGGAAGCAGCUUGCUGCUUUGCUGACGAGUGGCGGACGGGUGAGUAAUGUCUGGGAAACUGCCCGAUGGAGGGGGAUAACUACUGGAAACGGUAGCUAAUACCGCAUAACGUCGCAAGACCAAAGAGGGGGACCUUAGGGCCGCUUGCCAUCGGAUGUGCCCAGAUGGGAUUAGCUAGUAGGUGGGGUAACGGCUCACCUAGGCGACGAUCCCUAGCUGGUCUGAGAGGAUGACCAGCCACACUGGAACUGAGACACGCUCCAGACUCCUACGGGAGGCAGCAGUGGGGAAUAUUGCACAAUGGGCGCAAGCCUGAUGCAGCCAUGCCGCGUGUAUGAAGAAGGCCUUCGGGUUGUAAAGUACUCUCAGCGGGGAGGAAGGGAGUAAAGUUAAUACCUUUGCUCAUUGACGUUACCCGCAGAAGAAGCACCGGCUAACUCCGUG
rnacentral:rRNA from 1 species